UCAAAGCGGGAGGCCUUGAUCUCUUCCAU
rnacentral:sRNA from 1 species